rnacentral:rRNA from 1 species
CCGGCGCACGGGUGAGUAACACGUAUCCAACCUGCCGUUUACUCUUGGACAGCCUUCUGAAGGAAGAUUAAUACAAGAUGGCAUCAUGAGUCCGCAUGUUCACAUGAUUAAAGGUAUUCCGGUAGACGAUGGGGAUGCGUUCCAUUAGAUAGUAGGCGGGGUAACGGCCCACCUAGUCUUCGAUGGAUAGGGGUUCUGAGAGGAAGGUCCCCCACAUUGGAACUGAGACACGGUCCAA